UACAAAAACAAACAUUAAAAAAUGAGCGUAUGCUACCAUUGUGCCCACAUUGGCCAUCACAGGUGACUGGAAUUCACACAACUGGACACACACUGCAUGCCAAUUAGAACCUAACCCAAUUGUCAUCAGAGAGGACCCACCCAGCAACUGAUGGGACCAGAUGCAGAGACCACAAACAUUAGGCAGAGCUUGGGGAAUCCUGAACAGGGGGAGGAAAGAUUGUAAGAGCCAGAGAGGUCAAGGAUACUACAAGAACACAUCCCACAGAAUCAAUUAAACAGGGCUCAUGGGUGCUCACAGAGACUGAAGUGACAAUCAAGAAGCCUGUAUGUGUCUGAGAUGGCCUUCAUUCUCCAGCCAUGCCGAGGAGAGGCAGCAGGAUCAGCCCAUUCAGCCUGAGGUAGCCCUGGCUGGAGAAGGAGAAGAUUGCUUCUAGAGGGGGAGGCAAAGCUUUCCUGAAUUCCUCAGGUGCAUUCCUCUGUUGUGAAGACAAGGGAGUUCCAUUCAAACAUCUGAUCCUGCUAAAGAACAGAGACCAACCAAAGAGUUCUAGUCCUCCAAAGGCUGGCUGAAACUGGGUUAACAACCACCCAACUGGCUUGCCUUUCCAAACCUUGUAGUGGUUUGCCAUCAGAAUUCCUUUCUGCCCGGG
rnacentral:lncRNA from 1 species